AUUGCACGCUGGCGGCAGGCUUAACACCUGCUAGUCGAACGAGUGGCGGACGGGUGAGUAAUUUCUGGGAAACUGCCUGAUGGAGGGGGAUAACUACUGGAAACGGUAGCUAAUACCGCAUACCAUCGGAUGUGCCCAGAUGGGCUUAGCUAGUAGGCGGGGUAAAGGCUAACCUAGGCGACGACCCCUAGCUGGUCAGAGAGGAUGACCAGCCACCCUGGAACUGGGACACGGUCCAGACUCCUACGGGAGGCAGCAGUGGGGAAUAUUGCACAAUGGGCGCAAGCCUGAGGCAGCCAUGCCGCGGGUAUGAAGAAGGCCUUCGGGUUGUAAAGUACUUUCAGCGGGGAGGCGUUACCCGCAGAAGAAGCACCGGCUAACUCCGUGCCAGCAGCCGCGGUAAUUC
rnacentral:rRNA from 1 species